rnacentral:lncRNA from 10 species
GACAGAGUCUCCUCUGUCGCUCAGGCUGGAGUGCAGUGGCACAAUCUCAGCUCACUGCAAGCUCUGCCUCCUGGGUUCACGCCAUUCUCCUGCCUCAGCCUCCCAAGUAGCUGGGACUACAGGUGCCCGCCACCACACCUGGCUAAUUUUUUGUAUUUUUAGUAGAGACAGGGCCAACUCUCAACAAUCACACCCGGUAAUGUAUACUGAUAGAAUGUUAUUUCCUCAUCCCUGCAGUCAGGAGAGUGCAUAAGGAAACAAAAGUUGACAAAGCCAAAACCCUCACCAACCAUUAAUCUCUUGGAAAAAUGGUCUCCGAACAUCCCUGUAAAUUUAACAAGUGCACAAACUGGCCUAUUGCUUCCACAUCUUUUGAAGCUAAGCCACUGCUAGUCAUAGGAUGUUAAUCUGACAAUACCAUGUAGUCCAACGCAAAAUAUCUGCAAAAUGAAGUUGCGAAUCUUGCAAAAGGUACAAGACUUCAUGAGGUCUAGGGAAAGCAAUGUUGAGAAAUUCAACAAAACGUACAUACACGUCAGUGAGAAACAAAGAAACAUAUACACAGACCAAUUAAAAGACAAUGAAUAUCGAGGCUGGGUGUGGUGGCUCACCCCUGUAAUCCCAACAAUUUGGGAGGCCGAGGCGGGAGAAUCCC